rnacentral:rRNA from 1 species
GAGUUUGAUCCUGGCUCAGGACGAACGCUGGCGGCGUGCUUUAUACAUGCAAGUCGAACGAGGACCGGGUGCUUGCACUGGAGCCGAGUGGCGAACGGGUGAGUAACACGUGACCAAUCUGCCCUUGGGAGAGGGACAACCUGGGGAAACCCGGGCUAAUACCGCAUGACGUGCAGCCAUCACAUGGUGGCGGUACUAAAGGGGGCCUCUACAUGUAAGCUCUCGCCCAGGGAGGAGGUCGCGGCGUAUCAGCUUGUUGGUGGGGUAACGGCCUACCAAGGCUACGACGCGUAGGGGUCUGAGAGGACGAUCCGUCACAUUGGGACUGAGAUACGGCCCAGACUCCUACGGGAGGCAGCAGUAGGGAAUAUUGCGCAAUGGUCGAAAGACUGACGCAGCGACGCCGCGUGUGGGAGGAAGCCUUUCGGGGUGUAAACCACUGUCAGAUGGGAAGAACAACGCAUGUUCAAACAGGGCAUGCGCAUGACGGUACCAUCAGAGGAAGCGCCGGCUAACUCCGUGCCAGCAGCCGCGGUAAGACGGAGGGCGCAA